GCCCAAACCAGAAACUUGUUUCUGGGGUUGUGGAUAGAUCAUAAAAGAAGAGGUAUCUUAAUCGAAGAGGGCUGGAACGCCCUACCAUAGAAGGUAAUAGUCCUGUAGGUAAAAAGAGAAAACUUCGGGAUCUAAUCCAGAGUACCACGAGACACGUGAAACCUUGUGGGAAGCAGGGAGGACCACCUCCCAAGGCUAAAUACUACCUAGUGACCGAUAGUGAAGCAGUACCGUGAGGGAAAGGUGAAAAGAACC
rnacentral:rRNA from 1 species